rnacentral:tRNA from 1 species
AGUGGUAUAGAUCAGUGGUAGAGUGCAUGCUUAGCAUGCACAAGGUCCUGGGUUCAAUCCCCAGUACCUCCA